AUUGAACGCUGGCGGCAGGCCUAACACAUGCAAGUCGAGCGGAUGAAGGGAGCUUGCUCCUGUAUUCAGCGGCGGACGGGUGAGUAAUGCCUAGGAAUCUGCCUGGUAGUGGGGGAUAACGUCCGGUAACGGGCGCUAAUACCGCAUACGUCCUGAGGGAGAAAGUGGGGGAUCUUCGGACCUCGCGCUAUCAGCUGAGCCUAGGUCGGAUUAGCUAGUUGGUGGGGUAAAGGCCUACCAAGGCGACGAUCCGUAACUGGUCUGAGAGGAUGAUCAGUCACACUGGAACUGAGACACGGUCCAGACUCCUACGGGAGGCAGCAGUGGGGAAUAUUGGACAAUGGGCGAAAGCCUGAUCCAGCCAUGCCGCGUGUGUGAAGAAGGUCUUCGGAUUGUAAAGCACUUUUAGUUGGGAGGAAGGGCAGUAAGUUAAUACAUUGCUGUUUUGACGUUACCAAAAGAAUAAGCACCGGCUAACUUCGUG
rnacentral:rRNA from 1 species